CCCGCGCAAGUGGUGGAGAAAUUACCGAACCCCACAUUCAUCCUCGGACCAGCCGGACCCAUCCGUCCUGGAAUAAAGACCCGAUAAUUUGAUAUCGAUCUAACCGGUUUAGCUUUCGGAAUUUACAAACCCACGUAAACCAGAAAACCCGGAUCGGACCGGUUCAAACCGGAACAGGUAUUUGAAUCCGGUCUUACUAUGUCGGCAGUCGGCUGACCGAUACACGUCUAUAAAUUGGCAACCCAGGGACGUCAUUACCUCUUUGUUCUGCCGAAAUUAUUUCCGUUGGCCCGCUCCGGGAAGCAUCGCCAUGGAGCGGAGAGCGAUCGGCCAUGUCUCAGUUCUUGAAGCCUGGCUUAGACAUUCCUCGGCGACGAUGAGGGAGGUGGAGCAGGCUCUUCGCCCCACCCAUCCGUCCUCCUCCUCCAGUGCAUGAAGGAUUUUUUACGUUCGGAUGCCGGUGUACGAGUUUCAGAGUUCCAUUCUUUAUCUAGCAGCAGAGGAUCACACGACAACCAUAAUUGUCUGAGGGACGGAAGCCGAAUGACCACCGAGAUACCCAGUGGAGUAGGCACCAACAAUUGGGCUCUUGGAGUUAUAGGUACUUCAAUUUCUCUUCCUAUUUAUCUUCAAGAAUUGCGUUCGUGGAGUUACAGGCACUUCAAUAUAUAUUUCUAUCCGGUGCUUCUGCUAUUUUCUUCAAGAAUUGGGUUCUUGGAGUCACUUGAAAUCCUUCUUGCAAUAGACCAAGGUUAUUUCAAUUUCCUUUUGUUUUCCAUGCUGCUAUUUGAUGCAUCGUAUAUAUGAUGCUAGCUAACUGAUUUUUUUUAAAAAAAAAAAAAUCUGGUUCAUGAUUCUUCCUUGAGAUUCCUUGUGUUGUACUUGCUGACUGAUUUGCAGGGCAUGCUUUAUGCUUGUCAUAGAACGAAUAGGUAGUUAGUGGGAGUGGUUGCAUGAACAAUUAGUUUUGUAACCCUAGAAAGACUUUUUGUAUUAAACGUGGAAGGGAAUCAAUAUGAAAUGUUUAGUUUUUUUAUGCAUUGUGAGUAUUAUACAGGGCGAGAUAGUUGUUCUGGAAGGCCGAUAUUGAUGUAUACCGCAGCUAGAAGAUAGAAGUACUCAUUGCAACUGAAAAUUUUCAUGUCUUCAUUUAUUUUCUAUUUUUUGAUUGAGAUAGUUAAUUUAAUUCUUAUCAGCAUGCCUGGUUGUUUUGUUGGUGUUUACUCUUCACAUGUCUUACCUAAACUGUAUUCUCAAGGGUUUGAAUUGCCUGGAGGUGCCUUUCUAUGGCUAUUUAAAACUUUAAUGAUCCACUUAUUCUUUUCUUUUUUUUUUUUGGCAUUUAGAUGUAACAACAAGUGAUACUAUCACUAACUAUAUUGUAAAUAUAACUGGUUUACUGGAAUUUCCAUUUCUUACUACAAGAGCAAAUAAAGCUUUCAGAUAUAGCUGUGAUGCUUUCAGAUUCAGGAAAUUAUAACUUGAAAGACCAAUCCUGGUGAACUAUACAUGCACUUCUUUUCCCUUGUUAUCUUAAAAAGGCAGGCUGGGCUGAAGUGAGUAAUAGCCUGCACCCAGCCUGGGUGUUUGGCUGUUCAGAUGAUAAUUGGGACUUCACUUAAUCAUUAGUGCCCAAGAGAAUGCCUUGGUUGUUGGGAGUGAUAUAUUGUCAAAAUUCUUCUUUGCUUCAGGUAGCUGAAGAGAUGAGCAUCAAACAUGGAGAAAAGGUUGGGUAUACUAUCCAUUUUGAAGCUCAAAACAAUCCAUGUCAUAAUAGUAGCCACGGCUGAUGAAAGAUCUCAAUGCUGUAGACCCUUUUGUAUCCUUUACAAACAGAUGUGUUGUUACUAAGCCUCUUGAAAAAGGUCCAAUGCUGUAGACCCCACAAUUGAGGUAAAAACCAUGUCAACUUUUUUCCAUAUUAGCUCUUAUUUUGAUCUACUAAGAAUUUAGAUCUCCUCCUCUUCUUCUUUUCCUUCUUCCUCCUCCUCCUCUUCUUUUUCUUCUUUAUGACUGGUUCCUGGAGCUCUGAGAACAGCUGACCUCAAUCCAUAUUUAAUUACCAGCACACUUGCAAAUUAGUCUUUUAGUAAUAUGAUCUGCCAUUCUGCCUAAGACAGAGAAUAGGGGGAAAAACAGAAAAUAAAUUUUGGAUUUUGAGUGAAGUGGAUUACCUAGCUCAAGUGCUCAGGUUUCCCAAAAAGCUUCUUCCAUUUUCCAGAUGGUUAACACAUGGACAUAUAUUGUAGCCUCUACUUUUCUUUGUGCUGGUGUAAAAUGGCAUUGGGAAAAACCUAUAAUUAUAAUUUUUACAACCUCUGUCAUGCCUUUAUAUAAAAUCAUAAAGUCGUCAUUAGGGUAUGCCAAAACAAAAGUAACUGGUGGUUAUGUGGGCAUGUCAUUUGAAUCUGGUUGUGGCACUGAUGAUCACUGUUUGGAGGAGAAAACAUCUUUCUUACGGGCUUGUACUCAUACUAUUCUACCAUAGGGGUAUAUCUGCAAAUAAUGUCUAACCAACCUGUAAUGCAUAGCUUAAUAAUUUUCUACCUUUUGUGCUAUUGUGGAUGAUCUCCCAAACUUGGAUUCUGCACAUGGCAUUGAUGCAUGUUAAUCUUAUACAUUGACAGUAGCCUUAGCAUGUGCUUUUAUUCGUGUUUGCUCAACUUCUCACAUUGCUUUUUAUUCUCAGACAGAGGAAUAUAGGACAGGCUGCUGAUGAUCCCUCAUGUUGUGAGCUGCCUGCCAUACUUUCUGUUGAAGUAGAUUUUUUGAGCUUUAACACUAUAUAUAUAUAUAUAUAUCCAACCUGUUAAAAGUUUUUUUGUCAUUAUUCUAACCACAUGCCAAAAUUCUUAAGUUGAGCUGAUAAAUUUUCCAUUCUACUAGCAUAGGGAAUACACUGUGGAAAUUUAUUGUGUUGAGGAGCCUGUCCUGACUAUUUACAAGUGCUAUUGAUGCCAUGCUAUCAAUUCAUGACAAGGUAAAUUGCAGCUCAUAGAAGGUGAUAGUUGUUCUGCUGCUGUAUUGAUAUAUUUGAUCCCACUUGAUUGUAUCACAAGUUGCAGGAACCUUCUAGUUGGAUGCUAUAUCAGCUUUGCGACCUGCAUCCCAAUUCUUUUGUGCUUCUUGACUUGAAAACUCUUCUACAGUCAUUUCAUUGUUAUAUACUUCCUCUAAUCCAAGGUACAGGACAUUCCUUUGCUCAGGGAUAUUUGGGCUUGGCAGGUAGCUAACUUUUGUAUUAGGAUUACACAUACUUAGAGAGUAGCAAAUAAAGCUGCUGAUCAUAUGGCAAGCCAAGCAUUGCAAGCAGAUGUUUGCUGGUCCUAUUUGUCUGUUCUGGAUUCUAAGUUCAGUCAAAUAUUGCAAGCAGAUGGCUAUGGAAUCACUUUUUUGGUGCUCAUCCCAAUAUUCUACUAGAUUGGUUAUUUAUGGACUACUUAUACGUCAUAGGCGACUACUGUUCAUCAUUUCUUCAGUUGGUUUUCCAUUAAUCCACAAUGCAUCAAUCAGUUUUUAUUCAAUCUGCAGUCUCUCCUGCUUUAUGGUGCCAUAUGGGUAUAUCCAUGGCCUUCAUUGUUAUGUUUCUGCUUAUCCCUUUUGCUUAUGUUAUGGAUCAGCUUUACUGUGCCAUUGCAUAUGUCAGCACUAUGUGGAGCCUCUGUUAUUCUAUGCCAUUAUCAGUUCUGUAGCACUAUUUCUGGUCUUCUUCUCAGCAGUUGCCUGUUAGCUGACAAUGUUCCUGGUUCUGCCAAUGAUUCUACCUUUGAAGGGGUUGCUGCUUUGUCCUAAGCAAGAUCGCCAUACUGCAGUGUUCUGUUUGCAUUUAGCACUUUCUGAUACUUAUGAUAUUCACUGUCUACUGUUCUUCUAUCUCCUGCAUGGGUUCUUAUCUUCUGGAUUAUGUUCUCAUUUCUAUGCAGUUUUGGAUCUUGUUUUGUUUCUGCUAGCAUUCUCUCUUAGCUGUUAUAUGAGCAAAGGCAGUCCUGUAUUCCAAGUGCAAAGGCAGUCCUUAUUCUCAUUGGGCUCAUAUAUUAUUCAACAUUUACUUUCAUCUGUCUGCUGGAGGGCUAUUGUGCUAUGGUAUAUCUGCUCUGCUAUAUGUUCUUUGCUAUGUUAUGUGCUCUUCAAGCAGGUGUCUUGUGCCAUUGUCAUAUUCUAUCUUUCCUGAUCCGAUAUGUUGGGAACAUAUAUGCUCAUUUUGCUCAUCUUCAGCGGUUCAAUACUUGUUAUGCCUUCAAACAUACUUUAAGCUGUUAUAGCUAUUAUGCUACCUGUUUUUCUGCUGUUUUAUCAAGUUAUAUCUCAUGCAUAUGCUCUAUCCUUCAUCAUAUGUGUUUUCCACAUAAGGCCGAUGGUUCUUGUUGCAUGGGUUUCUUCAUAGGACCUAUAAUUAUUUUCCACUGUACUCAGGGUGCACUUCCAGAUACUCUGUGCUUUCCUACACAGGCUCUUUACUUAACAUCAUGCCACCCAAUAUUCAAUGAAAUCGGAACCAGCUGGGGACAUUCUAGUCUUCCUGAGAUGAUAUUGAUGCUGCUGCACGGUUACAGAAGAUACUGAAGACAAUGAUAACCAUUUUCCUGAUCGUAUCAUAUCUAUAACUUAACACCAUCUUUUUACUUUUGGUCUGUGGGAAGAAUUGGAUUAGAAAAGGUGGUAAAGGAAAGCACAUCAAGUAGAAAUUUUACAGAAAAAAUCCAGAAAUCUGGGACGAAACAAUCAGCAUCUUCUUCUUCUUCUUCUUUUAAAUUACCUAUAUAAAUUGGAAUACAGAUUCAUUCUAAAAUAAUCAAAAUCAACUUCUAUUAUCUGUCGCAUUCCUUGUGAGCAAGUUAUUAUUAGCUGCUUUGUGCGUAACAUCUAGUUCAAUGUAUCUCUGUAACUAGCCAAAGAGCAAUGUGCAGUCAAUUGCUUUGUUCUCUUUUGAGACACUUUAUUAUUUCUAAAUUAUGAAUAGAAUAAUCAGCCAUAUUGUUUUCCAUUUGGCAAAAGCACGAAGCCUGCCCUUAGAGAGGCAGCUUCAAACACCUUGAACCACAUAAUCUAUUGAAUCGCUUUAGUGUGCUAUGUUCUACUUAAAUGCUUGAACACUUGAAUGUACCUCCUAUUAUUGCUUGCUUUCACAUUCUUUUUAGAUAAUUAUAUUAAAAAGCCAUGAGCUUUUUGGAGAUAAAUGUACGGUCUUGCUAUUAAAGUUCUUAUAACACUAAUUGGCAUUUAACCCAUUGAAAACAUAGAUCAUUGCGGCAUGAAUACAUUUUAAGAGAGGCUAACUACUUCAUACUGUGGGACUUCCAGAAAGCACUCUAGAAAUGUAGGAGCCUGCUGACUUAUUUCUCGUGCUACUUUUGGCUACUAUUUCUUUGUUGUUGCAGAUCUCACUCAACCUAUUAAACAAGACUGAAGAUUUUGUCUUUAAGCAAGUUUCGGCAUGCUUAUGUUUCUACCUUUUUGGUUAAUAUUGAAACUUUUUUAAAACUUAAAUGGAACAGGCUGAAACUAAAAUACACGUAUUAAUCAAAUAUUCAUGUGAAUUAGAGAAAGACUUAAAUGCAAAAUAUGGAAAAUUAAGAGCAUGUUUGGUGGCCUUUGAUCCUUUUUGAAAGCAUAUAUCAGCAUGAACAAUAGUUCUUUACACUUUACAUGUCAUUUAUGUAAGCAUGCAUGCAGAGUAAGCAUUGCAAUAAAUGUUUUAUAAGGUGUUAACCAUUCAAGUAACCAUUUUGCAAGUUAUCUUUAUGCUCAAUUGUUUAAAAUGUGUGAAAAGUAUCAAUGUAUUAAGUAUAUUAGACUUUUGAACUCUUUGGGAUUUUUUCACCCUCCUGAUUUUCAUGAUCAUGAUUUAUCCUUUUCUGUAAUUUAAAAUUUCUAAAGCAGAAAGGGGGAGAGAUCGUGAACUUGGAAAUUUUUUUUUGAAAUAGAAACUUUGGAUUUCCUGGUUUCAGGGAUCUUAUGAAUUUCAGAGGGAGAGCCUUGGCACAUGGGUAAGAUUGCUCUACUGUGGUCUGAAUGUCAUGGGAUCAAAACAUAGAAACAACGGUCUGCAUGCAAGAAUAAGGCUGCAUACAUCUGACCCUUCCCAGACCUUGCAAUUGACGGUGCCUCCUACGCUAAGAUGUCCUUUUAUUAGAGAUUUUAUAAAUUUCACUACUAACUAAAUGCCUGCCCAGAUUUAUGUACUUGUAACAUGUAUUUAGACAACACUUUUAAUAACAGAAUAUGAUGAUUCUGUAAUGCAUCAAAACAAACCCUUAAUGGUGACAUCCUAGUCGACCAUGGUGGUGACUUGGAUCCAAGGAUAUGCAUGGGGAGACACCACUCACCUCUUGUUGCAGGACAUCUUGAGACUGCUGAUGGGAUAGUUAUCAAGCAUGUCUUCCGAGAGGCGAAUACCGCGGUUGAUUGGGUGGCCACUUUUGUUGCAGAGCAUGUUGGAGACUUUCUUGGAUGGAUGCGGAGGCAGCCCUAUGGCCUCUCAGGCUUAUUUUGUUUUCUAAUCUUUUUGGAUGUGUUCACACUAGACUUAUAUGAACAUUCCAUUUUUAGCCAAAAAGAAAAAAAAUGGUGAUGUCCUAAAGAUGCUAUACUAUAGCAUUUCAUAUAACCCUUAUUACAAUAGCUCCAUUCUCUACUAUAAUCUCCUUAAAAAUUGACACUGUGCAAUGGAAGUUACCACCAGCAUUGACUUGCCUGGUGGGCAUGCAAUGUGGAAAGGGAUGAAUCUACUAAUUCCCUCUAAUAGGGAUUGUGGCAUUGAGGUUACUUUUUGUUUGUUUUAUAUCCUCAAAAGUUGAGACCUCUAGAAUGGUAGCUGUUCUCAAAUUUGUGCUUUUUACUUGAAGUCUCUGAGUAAAUUUCUUUCUGGAUGCUUCUAACUUACUGGUUCUGUUAGGUUUCUUGAGAUUGGUGAUUUGUCAAUGCACAAGAUAUCUUUCUAUAUCUUCAUGAGAAAGGAUGAAGAGAAAUAAAGAAAAUAAGAGAGAGCAGGAAGACUGAAGUAAAGAAUGUUGAUUCAAAGUACCUGGCUGAUCCAUGCUUUACUGAAUUUGUUUUUUUUUGAGAAUGAAUGUUUUGUAGCCAUGCGCUGCCCAACUUAUGGGGGUUGGUUUUGUAUUUUUUGAAGAAAUCCUGGCCCAUUUUUUGAUUUGAAAACCCUAGCGAAUUUUAUCUAUAACAGUUGAUACUGAUAAUAUAUGUCAAAUCUAUGUAAUCCGGUAGGCAAACAACCAAAUUCUUUCUGGACCAUAUAAGACCAGCCUUAUUUUUUGAUAUAUGUCAUAUUUCUGCAUGUUUAUCACACUUUGUCUAAGCUGUAGAUACUUAUUCUUAGUUUAUUAGUCAUGCUAAUCUUUUAAUGCUAUGAACUAACUUUUAGGAUUCAUUUUUUUAUAAGAUCUGCUAGUGUCAGUAGAUCACCAUGUUGAAAACUGAACAAAGCCACUGAUCAAUUAAUAUUUUAUUUCCAUGUUGUCAGUUUUGCUACUAUGAAUGGGGAGGCUUUCACAUGCAGAUCAGGCUAGUAAUGACUAAUUAUUAUGAUGAAACUGACCAACAUUUAUGGGACUUUUGAAAGGAUCAUCUAUAUUUGCAUUAAUAUAUCUUUGUUUAAGGACCUAAAUGUUUCCUCCCACUCCCAAGGAAAAGAAAAGAAGGAAGCAGCGUAUGUCGUGGAUGGUGGGUUGAAAGCAGUGUUUUCAUAAUCUGGAACAAAUGGUGAUUGAGGUGAGGAUACACAAAGCAGAUGGGUUAAGGCUGGUGUACUGCAUUCUUUCUAUGCUAAAACGGUCAGGUGACAGGUUGCAAACAAACAAAUAGACUCAGUAGCAUCAGAAGAGGCAUCAAGGACUUCAGGAAGCAUUCUUUAAGACAUGUUUCAUAAUAGGAAUAUUAGAAGCAACAUUCAUCAACUGAGCUAAAAUAUGUGGGUCUGGACUUGAUGGCACUUGAUACGGUGAUAUUUCUGCAUCACGUUCUCUAAUAGCUUGAUAAUGCAGCUUUGAGUUUUGAUUCUUUUGGUGCUAUUUUGCACCACAAUUAAGCAGGUAGUGUUGCUUUGAGUCCCUGUCAGUAUUUUCUAUUUUCAAGAGGUUGGAAAAGAAGUCAAAAAAACCACCAGAUUUUCUGCCGUGAAAGAUGUUAUUUAAUUUCUUUUUCAAACUAUGUGUGCUUAAAGCUUUGGAUUUCCUUACCUCUUGCUUUAGUAACCA